rnacentral:rRNA from 1 species
ACACAUGCAGUCGAGCGGUAACACAAGGGAGCUUGCUCNUUGGAGGUGACGAGCGGCGGACGGGUGAGUAAUGCCUAGGGAUCUGCCCAGUCGAGGGGGAUAACAGUUGGAAACGACUGCUAAUACCGCAUACGCCCUACGGGGNAAGGAGGGGACCUUCGGGCCUUCCGCGAUUGGAUGAACCUAGGUGGGAUUAGCUAGUUGGUGAGGUAAUGGCUCACCAAGGCGACGAUCCCUAGCUGUUCUGAGAGGAUGAUCAGCCACACUGGGACUGAGACACGGCCCAGACUCCUACGGGAGGCAGCAGUGGGGAAUAUUGCACAAUGGGGGAAACCCUGAUGCAGCCAUGCCGCGUGUGUGAAGAAGGCCUUCGGGUUGUAAAGCACUUUCAGUAGGGAGGAAAGGUGAUGUGUUAAUAGCACAUUGCUGUGACGUUACCUACAGAAGAAGGACCGGCUAACUCCGUGCCAGCAGCCGCGGUAAUACGGAGGGUCCGAGCGUUAAUCGGAAUUACUGGGCGUAAAGCGUGCGCAGCGGGUUUGUUAAGCCAGAUGUGAAAUCCCCGGGCUCAACCUGGGAAUUGCAUUUGGAACUGGCGAACUAGAGUCUUGUAGAGGGGGGUAGAAUUCCAGGUGUAGCGGUGAAAUGCGUAGAUAUCUGGAGGAAUACCGGU